AAGUUAUAGAUGUGUAACGUACACGUAUUAUUUAAAUAUAAGUUUUUUUAUAAUUAAAGCUUGGUAAAGAGAUUAAGAAUAUUUCAAUAAUAAUAAUACUAAUUUAAUUAUGCUAUAGAAAAAGAAAACACACGUGUAUGGCAACUUAAUGCAUUCAGGGUAUGCAGUUUCUCAUACAUAUGUACAUAUUUCAUAACAUUGUAAUGAUCAUUUAAUUAGCUGCUUCAACAUUAUUGCUGAUCUUCGUGAAGGCCUUCGACGAUCAUCAUGCCAUAAGUGGAAAAUUAAUUACAUUCAUUGACUCUCCUGCUUGCUUAUUCGCAGCAGAGGAUGCUCACCGAUCGGCUGAUCUUUUAGUUUAGCUACACCGGCUCACCUCAUCUGUGAAGGAGCGGGUAGAGUAAAUAUGUAAGAGCACAACUGAUUUGCAAAUUACAGAGAGUGCCUAUGGUUGCCAUGCAUCUUAAGUAAAUUUCACCUGUACUGAAUUUCUAGUUAUUUUUUUUUAUUAGUUUUCUUUAACAUUACCCAUGUUAUUGUUUUUUGUGUUAUUUUGAAACAGUACAUUUGCAUAAAUUAGUUUUCUUUUCUAGUAAUCUAAAGCUCAAAAUGUAUAUUUUUAAGAUGUUUUAUUGAAGUAGUCUACUUUGAAUUUUCCUAUAUUUUAUCUCCAUUUUGUACAUAAUAUUAAGAAUGUGAAUAAAUUUUUAAAUUUCAAAUAUGAA